rnacentral:rRNA from 1 species
GAUGAACGCUGGCGGCGUGCCUAAUACAUGCAAGUCGAGCGAACGGACGAGAAGCUUGCUUUUCUGAUGUUAGCGGCGGACGGGUGAGUAACACGUGGAUAACCUACCUAUAAGACUGGGAUAACUUCGGGAAACCGGAGCUAAUACCGGAUAAUAUUUUGAACCGCAUGGUUCAAAAGUGAAAGACGGUCUUGCUGUCACUUAUAGCUGGAUCCGCGCUGCAUUAGCUAGUUGGUAAGGUAACGGCUUACCAAGGCAACGAUGCACAGCCGACCUGAGAGGGUGACCGGCCACACUGUAACUGAGACACGGUCCAGACUCCUACGGGAGGCAGCAGUAGGGAAUCUUCCGCAAUGGGCGAAAGCCUGACGGUGCAACGCCGCGUGAGUGAUGAAGGUCUUCGGAUCGUAAAACUCUGUUAUUAGGGAAGAACAUAUGUGUAAGUAACUGUGCACAUUUUGACGGUACCUAAUCAGAAAGCCACGGCUAACUACGUG